GCGGAGGAAAAGAAACCAACAGGGAUUGCCUCAGUAACGGCGAGUGAAGCGGCAACAGCUCAAAUUUGAAAUCUGGCCCCAGGCCCGAGUUGUAAUUUGCAGAGGAUGCUUUUGGCGAGGUGCCUUCCGAGUUCCCUGGAACGGGACGCCAUAGAGGGUGAGAGCCCCGUCUGGUCGGACACCGAGCCUCUGUAAAGCUCCUUCGACGAGUCGAGUAGUUUGGGAAUGCUGCUCUAAAUGGGAGGUAUAUGUCUUCUAAAGCUAAAUACCGGCCAGAGACCGAUAGCGCACAAGUAGAGUGAUCGAAAGAUGAAAAGCACUUUGAAAAGAGAGUUAAAUAGCACGUGAAAUUGUUGAAAGGGAAGCGUUUAUGACCAGACUUGGCCCGGUUGAUCAUCCAGCGUUCUCGCUGGUGCACUCUGCCGGUCCAGGCCAGCAUCAGUUCGUCGCGGGGGAUAAAGGUUUCGGGAAUGUGGCUCCUCCGGGAGUGUUAUAGCCCGUUGCGUAAUACCCUGCGGUGGACUGAGGUCCGCGCUUCUGCAA
rnacentral:rRNA from 1 species